UUAAACUCUUGGCAUUUGGCUUUGCCUUUCUGGACACAGAAGUAUUUGGCAAAGCCCAACACCUUCCCCCACUGGUGUUUCAUCAGUACAGACGCCUCACCUUCCCACGCACGCAGACUCGCAGACGCCCUCUGCUGGAACUGACACGCAGACAUUCAGCGGCUCCGCCGCCAAUGCAAAACUCAACCCUACCCCAGGCAGCAAUGCUAUCUCAGAUGCCUACCUUAAUGCCUCUGAAACAACCACUCUGAGCCCUUCUGGAAG
rnacentral:misc_RNA from 1 species